UCCCUGGUGGUCCAGUGGGUAAGACUCUGUGCUUCCAAUGCAGCAGGCCCAGGUUCGAUCCCUGGCCAGGGAC